GGAGGAGGAGACGGAUGGUUGACAGAAGAGAGUGAGCACACGGCGGAGGGUAAUGGUAUGAUACGGUGCUGUUUCCGGUGCGUGCUCACUGCUCUUCCUGUCAGCCCUUUUCUUUGCCAUCG
rnacentral:miRNA from 15 species